UGAUGAUUUUCGAGAUAAUGCUUUUUUU
rnacentral:sRNA from 1 species